UAUAAGAGGUCCAGCCUGCCCAGUGACCUAGUUCAACGGCCGCGGUAUCCUAACCGUGCGAAGGUAGCGUAAUCACUUGUUCUUUAAAUGAGGACUAGUAUGAAUGGCAUCACGAGGGUUACACUGUCUCCUUUUUUUAAUCAGUGAAACUAAUCUCCCCGUGAAGAAGCGGGGAUUUUCUUAUAAGACGAGAAGACCCUAUGGAGCUUUAAACAAACUAACACUUGCUGCCCAAAAUAACUUUUUCAGGAAACACGGCACACAGCAUAGCAAGAUGAUUAAUAGUUUUCGAUUGGGGUGAUCACGGAGUAAAAAAUAACCUCCAUGCCGAAAGGACCCUUCCCUGAGCAAAAAGCCACAACUUUAAGCACUAAAAAAAUUAACGUUUAUUGACCCAAUAUUUUGAUCAACGAACCAAGUUACCCUAGGGAUAACAGCGCAAUCCACUUCAAGAGCUCCUAUCGACAAGUGGGUUUACGACCUCGAUGUUGGAUCAGGGUAUCCUAGUGGUGCAGCCGCUACUAACGGUUCGUUUGUUCAACGAUUAAAACCCU
rnacentral:rRNA from 1 species